rnacentral:rRNA from 1 species
GAUGAACGCUGGCGGCGUGCCUAAUACAUGCAAGUCGAGCGAACGGACGAGAAGCUUGCUUCUCUGAUGUUAGCGGCGGACGGGUGAGUAACACGUGGAUAACCUACCUAUAAGACUGGGAUAACUUCGGGAAACCGAAGCUAAUACCGGAUAAUAUUUUGAACCGCAUGGUUCAAAAGUGAAAGACGGUCUUGCUGUCACUUAUAGAUGGAUCCGCGCUGCAUUAGCUAGUUGGUAAGGUAACGGCUUACCAAGGCAACGAUGCAUAGCCGACCUGAGAGGGUGAUCGGCCACACUGGAGCUGAGACACGGUCCAGACUCCUACGGGAGGCAGCAGUAGGGAAUCUUCCGCAAUGGGCGAAAGCCUGACGGAGCAACGCCGCGUGAGUGAUGAAGGUCUUCGGAUCGUAAAACUCUGUUAUUAGGGAAGAACAUAUGUGUAAGUAACUGUGCACAUCUUGACGGUACCUAAUCAGAAAGCCACGGCUAACUACGUG